rnacentral:rRNA from 1 species
GAAACCACAUACCAAGGGAACGGGCUUGGCAAAAUCAGCGGGGAAAGAAGACCCUGUUGAGCUUGACUCUAGUCUGACUUUGUGAAGAGACAUGAGAGGUGUAGCAUAAGUGGGAGACCGCAAGGUCGCCGGUGAAAUACCACUACUUUCAUAGUUNCUUUACUGACUCGGUUAAAUGGAAAGCGGAUCCUUUAACGGGGUCCACGCUUCUUGACUAAAGUGCAUUAAGCGUGUACGGGCAGGCGUCGUUUCGCGACGGCGUUGUUUAGCUUUCGUACAUUGCGGCACGAUCCCCUCCGAGGACAGUGUCAGGCGGGGAGUUUGACUGGGGCGGUACAUCUGUCNNNAGGUAACGCAGGUGUCCUNNGGCUAGCUCAGCGAGGACAGAAACCUCGCGUAGAGCAAAAAGGCAAAUGCUGGCUUGAUCCUGAUUUUCAGUACGAAUACGGACUGCGAAAGCAUGGCUUAUCGAUCCUUUUGUCUUGUUAGGAGUUUUAAGCAAGAGGUGUCAGAAAAGUUACCACACGGGA